UACAGAGGGUGCGAGCGUUGUUCGGAAUUAUUGGGCGUAAAGGGCGCGUAGGCGGUGCGGUAAGUCACCUGUGAAAUCUCCUGGCUUAACUGGGAGCCUGCAGGCGAAACUACCGUGCUGGAGUGUGGGAGAGGUGCGUGGAAUUCCCGGUGUAGCGGUGAAAUGCGCAGAUAUCAGGAGGAACACCAAUGGCGAAGGCAGCUCGCUGGGACGGUACUGACGCUGAGACGCGAAAGCGUGGGGAGCAAACAGG
rnacentral:rRNA from 1 species